rnacentral:lncRNA from 1 species
CAGGAAGAAUUGGAGCUGAAAUGAGGAAAAAGAGAAAAUUGCAGAAUUUUUAGCAUUAAGUUGGAUGCAUGUUCUUAGCUUGGGACUUGAAUUUUAUUGUAGAGCUCUUCUUUAGCUUUCCGGAACAUCUUGAAUCGUCCCAAUCGGAGUUAAUAUGAAAAAGUUAUGAUAUUUUUACCAAAGGACGUCGCAGCAGGAAAUGAAAAUUCACCCCAGCGAAUUUGAGCGGGAAAAUCAGGAAAUCUUGGAUUUUUGGAAAGUUUCUAAAUGCAGAUUUUGGUAGACUUCUACAUGGAAUUGGAUUGAUAUUUCUAUUAGCUUUAGGAUUUCCUUUAGACUAAGAUUUAUUUCCAAAUUGAAUUCUAUUUCUUUAUGGAAAUUAGUUAUGAUUUGUAAUUCCUUUUAGGAUUUGGAUUUCUACAUCCUAUAGAAUUUAGGACUUUGUCUAGCACUAUAAAUAGAGGAUGAGAGUCAAGGUUUUAU